CGAGGAGGUAGGGCUUACGCUUGCGUUUGUCUGUUAUAUCUUGGUGGACGAGUUGUCGCGGUUGGGACUGAGGUGCCUACAACGUGCUUUUGAGUGAGUUUGUGUCUCCGUGUGCGCCGUGUGUGGAUAGCUUGCUAUGUAUGUGCGGUUGUGUGUGGAUUGAUGCGGGCUUUAACUUGUUGCCGUUCGGGACGUUGGCGAAAUGGAGCGAUCCGACCCGUCUUGAAACACGGACCAAGGAGUCUAACAUGUGUGCAAGUGUUAGGGUGUGGAAACCCCAGCGCGAAAUGAAAGUGAAGGGCAGCGCAAGUUGUCUGAGGUAGGAAACGUUGUGGACUUCGGUCUGCGGCGUGGCACUAUCGACCGAUCAUGAACCUUCGUGGUGAAAGAUUUGAGUUUGAGCACAUAUGUUGGUACCCGAAAGAUGGUGAACUAUGCCUGAGUAGGGUGAAGCCAGGGGAAACUCUGGUGGAAGCUCGUAGCGAUUCUGACGUGCAAAUCGAUCGUCAAACUUGGGUAUAGGGGCGAAAGACUAAUCGAACCAUCUAGUAGCUGGUUCCCUCCGAAAUUUCCCUCAGGAUAGCAGCCACUUAUUUACGAUAGUUUUAUGAGGUAAAGCGAAUGAUUAGAGGAUUCGGGGAAGAAACUUCCUCGACCUAUUCUCAAACUUUAAAUCUGUAAGACCUGCAGGUUUCUUAAU
rnacentral:rRNA from 1 species